rnacentral:rRNA from 1 species
UAAGGAAUAUUGGUCAAUGGACGCAAGUCUGAACCAGCCAUGCCGCGUGAAGGAUGAAGGUCCUCUGGAUUGUAAACUUCUUUUAUAGGGGACGAAACCCUCUUUUUCUAAAGAGACUGACGGUACCCUAGGAAUAAGCACCGGCUAACUCCGUGCCAGCAGCCGCGGUAAUACGGAGGGUGCAAGCGUUAUCCGGAUUCACUGGGUUUAAAGGGUGCGUAGGAGGGCAGGUAAGUCAGUGGUGAAAUCUCCGAGCUUAACUUGGAAACUGCCGUUGAUACUAUCUGUCUUGAAUACCGUGGAGGUGAGCGGAAUAUGUCAUGUAGCGGUGAAAUGCUUAGAUAUGACAUAGAACACCAAUUGCGAAGGCAGCUCACUACACGCAUAUUGACUCUGAGGCACGAAAGCGUGGGGAUCAAACA